GGGGAAUUAUCUCAGUGGUAGAGAGUAAGAUCCGCAAUCUUGAGACCCGGGUUCGACUCCCGGAUUCUCCA
rfam:Vittaforma corneae ATCC 50505 unplaced genomic scaffold supercont1.20, whole genome shotgun sequence.